ACAAAUUUAGAUUUUAGACUAGAUGUAGAAUGUUAUGUACGUCUAGUAGGCUCAUAUAUUAUCUGGCCUUAUAUUUUGUUUUUCUUUCAGAGUCAGAGAUGGAGUGGACCUGGACAUUUGAGUCAUAUCCAAGAAAUAGACCUCUAGUCUAAGACUUCUCUCUCACCGUAUCUUCAACGUCUUGGUCUAACUUCUCAUCCUACCUCGGGGAAAGGGUUUGGAUCUGCAUAUUGUAAUCCAGUUCAAGGUGUACUGCAGGUCCUACCGUGCUAAGUGGCCUUUUGAUGUGAUUUUCUUAGCAAAGUUUGAAAACCGACAUUAAAAUAAGGACUGCAGAGCCUGAAUCCCCUGCAAUAUUAUGCUUCAUAUGGAACAUCAGCCAGCCUACAGAUACAAGCUUCCUUUUCCAGCUCUAAGCAAGAGGGACGACAAUGCUAAACAGAUCGUGGACUCGUCGCUUUCUCAUUUAACUACGACUUCCAGUGAAACAGAUUUUCAAAUAUACUCAUCUGAAGAUUUUGAAAGUGCUCCAGUCUGUGUACUAAAAUUUGCCAUCGAGUAUGAGAUUAUUGGUUUAAUAAGAUUCCAUCAAGUAAUGUUUUAAAGGAAGUAAACAAAUUAAUGAUACUUCCAAGAAUUCUAUUCUUUUAAAUAGAAUUGUAGAAUCUUGGAGAAGGAAAAAGAAAACAACUAAUUACAGUUGAAAGAUAAAACUAAAGUAAUAAUCCAUAUUAAGUUUAAUAGCUCUGCAAUUUAAGCCUGCACUUUCGAGAGAUAUCUUGCUAAGUGUUGUUGCUAAUUUAAAAAUCUAUGAUUCUGUCAUGGAGGCUGUUGUUUCUAAACUUACAUGCCAUAGAUGAAUCUGUUCUUGUAGAUAAAUCUUAAAAUAUCAAAUUGGAAAUUUUAAAGUAGCAAUUCAUCUGAGCAGCAGUCGACCAAUUUGAGGCCCCAUUUGGAACUCGUGGUAGAGUUUCUGUUGGCAUGGAUAUGUGUCGAUAAUUAAGAGUUGAUACCUGAAUUGGAUAUUCUUAGCAAUUGCACAAGAACAAAUACAAAAGAAAUAACCGAACAUUGUAAUUGCAGUGAAAACAGAUUUGUCCGGCAGGAAAUAAUAUAUCAACUCGGAUUCAUGUUGUCCUUAAACAAAAAUCAAAGCUGACAGAAAAAAAAAAGAUAAUCAAGUUCGUAUAGACAAACUGUAGUAUCAAGAAAAACACAUUUUCAUCAACUGCAUGACCUUACAUGACAAAGUGUAUUACCCGUAGAUUAACAACCAUAUUAGUUACAGCAAUCCCUACUACAAACGUUACUCUUUUAAUCUCUACCAAUGUACCUCGACUACACAGUGGCAGAUAUUUGCUGCAAUAGUUUUAACAACCGGUUGUCACUUUAAAAGCAGUACUUUCAUUUGUGUCAUUGAAAAUGUUAUUAUUGUAUCCCUUGAAAUAAAUUGCUAUUGCUCAUCAUUUAUAUAAUGUAGAUUUUCAUGCAUUAAAGCAUAAGAAUAGCUAUA